AUGGCGUCGGCGGCGGCGGCGGCGCUGGCGGCGGCGGGGAAGCGACAGUUAUCCGAGGACGACCUGUACCUCAUCCUCCACAAGUACUCGCCGGCGACGAUCCUGACGGCGCUCCAGGAGGUGACGCAGCACGCGCAGCGGAGGAGCAUCGACUGGCGGGCGCUGGUGGCCAAGACGGCCACGGGGAUCACCUCCGCCCGCGAGUACCAGAUGCUCUGGCGCUACAUCGCCUACGGGUACGACUUCGUCGAGAACGUCGAGGACGGCAGCCCCCAGCCACUGGGUGAUGAGAGCGACUUGGAGUGUGAGAUUGAACCCUCUCCUAAGCCGAGCAACGAAGCCGCAGCCGAGGCCUCACGGUUCGCCAAGAUCUUGAUGUACGGACCUUCACGCGAGCAAGGUUCUAGUCAUCGUGCUAACUCAGAUGUUCCUCUGCUAAACACUCCAAAUGAAAAGAUACCACGUGUUUCAUCUGACAAACAGCUUGCUCAGAGCCAUCGUCUAACAAAUGGUACAGGUCCAGUUUCCAACUCAAAGCAGGCACCCCAUACAGGGUUAUCUCCUGAUUCUUUUGAUGGGAAUGGACCUCAUAAUAAAAAGACAAAGAAGACUAAAGCAUGGACUAAGGAUGAGGAUGCAGAGUUAAUGGCUGGUGUACAUAAGUGUGGUGAAGGAAAUUGGCUGGACAUUCUGCGUAAAUAUAACUUCGAUAGCACAAGAACUUAUGGUCAAUUAUCUCAGAGAUGGGCAGUAAUUUCCAAGCGUCAAGCAACAACCAAGCCUGCUAAAGCUAAACCAGUCACCGGGGGAUAUGAUAUGAAAGCUACUCAAAAGGCAUUCUUUAUGGCUCUUGAUAUGCCUAUGGGGAAGCCUGGUGGAUUGUCUACAUUAAGAUCAGGAGCUUCACAACAAAGCACUCAACAUCCUGCUCCAGUAUUUGGUGCUGCGGCACCUGAGUUAAAAUCUGCAACAUCCUCUUCAUCAUUCUCGUUGCCAGUACCAGUGGUGCCAAGUGCAGCCCCUGGGCCUGUGUCAGCACAAGUGCAGGUUCAACCUCGGGUGCAACAAGCUCCUUCUCAAGCUGCGCCCUCAAAAGUGUCAAAUGCUUCAAUCAAGUCACGAAAUAGCUCUAAGAAGCAAACUGCACAAGCAAAUCUUACAAAUGCUCCUUCGUCUAUACAAGCUGCAGCUAUUGCUGCUGGUGGACGAAUCGCCACAGCAAGCAUCGCCACCAAUUUAUUGAAAGCUGCACAAUCCCCGCAAGCUGUACACAUAAGAUCUCGAGGAAAAGGGUCUUCAAAAACUUCUACAAGCUCUAAAGCAUCCACUGUGGCUGGUGAGCCUGGAACACAGACUGGCAGUGCUCAACACUCAGAACUUCCAAACUCCAGUGCCCCUAUACCAUCUCCUACGGUUUUGAUAACACAGUCAACCGAGCAAGUUAAUGUUGUGCCAGAAGUUGCAGGAGUUAAUCCCCCGGAACAAUCUGCUAGUGCACAUUUGUUGGAACCUGAUAGAGCAUUGAGCACCACACCAGUGCCUGGCCCAUGCGACAAUAUGGAGAUUGACGACGACUCAACAUUUUGUGUAGUCACGAUGGAGGACUUGUUUCCUGAAGACGUGAAGCAGCCAGAGACAGUGAGUCAGCCAGAGACAGUGAGGCUGCCAGAGAUGGUGAGGCAGCCAGAGACGGUGAGGCAGACAGAGACGGUGAGUCAGCCAGAGACGGUGAGGCAGCCAGAGAUGGUGAGGCAGCCAGAGACGGUGAGGCAGCCAGAGAUGGUGAAGCAGCCAGAGAUGGUAGAUCCCAAAGCCGAGGAGAUGAUAGAUCCCAAGGAUGCUGACAUGCUGGAGUUCGAUCGCUUUGUUGCCCAAGGAUGCUUGACUACAGAUUAUUCUGAUAAAAGCAAAGGUGUCAAAAUUGCUCCUGGAGCUCAAGGAGCUACUGCCAGCCAGAAGAAGAAGCAGCUACCCACAGUUGGGAAAAGCAUCCCUGUGUUUAGAGCACCAGUAACCAUGAAGAAGACCAAAGCUCUACCUUCACAUGGGGCGACGCUUGCAUCAACUGUCGCCUCUAGUGGCCUUGUUGGCACAGGCAAUGCUGGUGUGCUGAGUAAAGCAAUAUAUCGGAAGCCAGCUGGUCCAGGCACCACAGGCAAACAAAAUAGGUGCCAAGAAAUUAUGGCCCAGAAGCAGCAUGCUAUGAACUCAAAUAGUAGCGCAAUGGCCAGGAAUGCGGCUCCCGGCACCGGAACACCAGCCAGGAAUGUGGCUGCCGGCGUUGGAGCACCAGCCAGGAAUGCGGCUCCCGCCACCGGAACACCAGCUAAAAGUGUGGCUCCUGCCACUGGAACGCCACCAGUCAGGAACACGGCUCCUGCCACUGGAACGCCACCAGUCAGGAACACGGCUCCCGGCACUGGAACACCACCAGUCAGGAACACGGCUCCUGCCACUGGAACACCACCAGUCAGGAACACGGCUCCNNNNNNNNNNNNNNNNNNNNNNNNNNNNNNGGCUCCCGGCACUGGAACACCUGCAGUCAGGAACACGGCUCCUGGCACCGGAACACCAGCCAGGAACUCGCUUACUGGCACCGGAACGCCACAGGCCAGGAACUCGCUCACCGGCACAGGAACACCAGCAGCCAGGAAUGUGGCUCCUGUCACCGGAGCACCACCAGCCAGGAACUUGCUUACCGGCACCGGAACACCACCAGCCAUUCGGCAACAUAACCCAGCGGUGAAUGGGGCUAGCAAGGGGAAUCCGCCGGCCAGCCAAUAG
rnacentral:rRNA from 1 species